GCAGUUAAGCUUAACGGGCGUUUUGGAGGAAAAACGAUAGCUCCUCAGAGAAACUGGAAGCGCAACAGGGGCAGAGAAAGAUGAGACACAGGUUUCCUCUCAGGAUGUACUUUCCUACCAGACCACCUAGUUGCCUGAGGAGAAUGGAAGAUCCCCCUCCCAUUACACUACUCUACCCGCCGCCCUGAUUUUAGAGCACAGGUUAUAGCCCUUUUGUGGUCCCUGAUCAACUUUACCCUGUAAACCAUGUGCUGCAAAUAACAUCUCACUUUAGCCAGGGGAUAGUGGAGCAGGCAUUCAAGGCUUUUGUGGGCAUUUUGUUACCUGCGAACCAGACCUUGAAGACUGCUGCUCUAGGCUUUCCCUCUCUCUGGAUAGACUGAUAAGCAAUACAGUUUUGCAGAAAGCCCUCAGGUCACUGAUGGGAGUAGUUCCCAGGUCAGACUUGUUCAGAAGCUCUCCCCUAGAAAGCAAAGUAACACCCGUUUAUGCUUUGCCCCUCUCAGCAGGCAUGGGUGGGAUUCACUGUUCUUGCAGAACUGGAAGCAGUAGGUGGCUUGAUGGUCGUGCCCUGCUGCUGCAUGAAGGUCCAAACACUACCUCCGCUGUAUAUGGUCCUUGAACUCAAAGAUGUCCAUAAACACUUGCUUAUGCUCAAGAACUCAACACCUGCUCAAAUCAUGAGAAGAUCAUUGUUCAGUUCGACAGCAGGGAAGACUGAAGCGGGGCUCAAAUGCUGCAGUGUGUGUCUCAGCUGCCAAAGCAAAUGACACUAAUGAAUAGCAGAGCAUAAUAUGGCCAAAGCAAAACACAGAUCUACCCAUUUGAGUUCUAGAAGAUUGUAUCCUGCACUAUCAGUAAUUAUUCAUAUACUGUACUUUAAUCACAAGAUACUGCUGCCAUACAAGUGGUAAAGAGACUACUAAAAUUAAAGACAUAUUCUAAUAAUUAUGAAAGGACUAAUUUCAAGUACGCAGGAUUUUUGAUUUGUAACUGAAAGGUAAGACCGUAUCAUGACUACUGUUGAAGAAUACCCUUUUGAUACGUGCCUUUGAAGGGGAAGGGAGUCAUCGUAUCUAUAUGAAAUGUGAGAACUGUUCAACAGGCUCUACUAAGCUGGCAAAUCCUUAAUUCCUUCAGUAAGAAAUCAAGUAAUACAACUAUUUACAUAGGCUGUGGAUUUUUUUGAUGUUAACUCCAGUGAUGUGUCCAUGAGAUACUAUGUUAUCUCAUUCCCAUCAAAAGCACUGCUCUACAAGGGCAUCAAAUCAAGAGGGACAUAUUCCUGAGUAUCAUAUUGUAAAGCAGAAUCCAGAACUGCAUUUAUAGUCUAUAGUGUUUGGGACCUAUCUUAUCUUCUCUUCCGCUCCCCAGACCCCUAGCACUGAAGCAUAAGGAGAACACAACACAAAAAAGCCCCGUAAAAGGCUGAGGUCAGGAUACAUGACCAAGUUACUCCAUCUCAUGGAAUUUCUGCAGGGCAGCCCGGCCACAAUCACUGACUGUCCUUAUGCGCUCAGUCCUUCACAAAAGUAAGGCCUAAAAGCCAGGUCAUGACAGACCUGUUGACACACACUACCAUAAACAUGUAUCCCAAAUGCAUAGGUGUGCACAGUACUCUAAUUAGAUUUGUACUAAAAGUCGCCUACAAUCAUAUUCCUGCAAUAUUGCCUGUGUAAGUGGCUUUUCUAAGAGACUCCGGUGUGCAUAUUUCAUGCCAUCAAAACUGAGAAACGUACUACAAGGUUGUCCUACUUGAACAUUCCAGGGUGUUCACACAGCAAUGAAUGAUGCCCCUUGAAUAAAUCAGAGGAACUCUCAAAGUUAUUUGGGCAUUAGGCUAUUACACUGCUAAAAAGUGACAUAACUCCAGUGGUAAGAAGACAGAGUUUCAAAUUUCCAAACCAGUUCUUCUUCUGUUUUAAUACAGUUUUAAUGAACAUCAGUCCAAGAGAUCACUAGAUAGUAUGAGGUACAUUCCUUGACCACAUAUGGCUGUGCUUAAGGAAAAGGACAAACGUAUACUUAAAUUAAAUAGUGUCAUUUAAUUUAGUAGCAGUUUAAUUAUCAUUAAGUUAAAAAAAAAAGUUAUAAUUAACUAUUAAUGACUUGAGACCUUUCAGAAAGCAUGAAUCCAAAAGGAAAUAAUAUCCAGCAGGUGGUCACAGACUUGUAGCUUUCCCACCAGCACUGCCAGCUGCAUCAGUCUCAAAGAACUACUUGUUCAACAAAGAAAUUGGUCUACAGUCUCUAACAGGAGUCUUGGCUCUGCUACUUUGCAUGGUCUUCUAAGAGAUACACAAUUAACUCGUAGGUGGACAACACAAUGGCUGUGUUUGGUAUCUGCCGGAUAAGUUGGGCAAAAAGUCCUCUAUAGAAGGCGAGAUAACCUUCUUCGCGUGCUACCAGACGUGCUGUCUGAAUGAAAGUCUUGUAUUUAGUGCCUUCUUCUCGCAGCCGAGUCCGUAUGACCUCUGCAGAAAAGUAAAACAGAGCCCUAAGUUAACAAGACUUAAACCUUCCCAUUGAGAAACAUGCCAUUACCAGGAAAGAGUAUGCAAAACCCAGGGACGUGAAAACCUUGUGUACCAGUUGCCUGCCAGUACUUUCAGCCAUGGAAUCCUGUACACAUUGCCCUUAAGGCAAGAAGCAAAGUUAAAGAUGAGUUCCCUUUCAUGUUGAAUAAAUGGAUUAUUUGCUCAUUCAAGCCACUACAGAACUAAAUGCUUCACUGAUGCUCACAUAAUCAAUAUCUCUAUAUAACCAUGAUAACAUUCACACCUAUCCAAAAAGAAUAACACUGCUCAGCCUGCAAGUGCUUCCCACCACUUGAUCACACAACCCCAAAGGCUGUGGGUGCUCAGCUAGAUGAGGCUACUAAUGAAAACAGAAGCACUGGGCAUUCAACUUCCAUCGUUCGUCUUGGAUUACAGGCAACAGCAAUUCUACUGCAGUCGUAAAUGGAAAAGUUAACAUACCGUGUGGAUAAGCAAUACAAGAGGCACAGCCCUUGGAAACAGCAGCAGCAAACAUCAGUCCGAAGAAGUUUGUCGAGUUCCUUUCGGUCCCAUUAGGAGGAGAAGGAGGCAGUUGGACUUCCUUUAAGUGCUUUUUUAAACUUUCAUAAAUAGCAAAGCAGAUAAUGGUCUCAGAAAUCCCAGCAUAGGAGGCGGUCAGGCCCCUAUAAAAUCCACGGAUACCUUCUGUCUGGUAAACAUAUCUAGCACACUGCAAAGCGUUCAUUGGUUUUGAACCCCUGACUCUAAAAAACAAACAGAACAGAGCAUAUAAUGAGCCCAGAAAAAGAAUUAUUAUCAAAAAAACCCAAACCUCAUGGUUUUCAAUAGUUUUUAUAACUACAGAAAUGGUUCUCUGCUAAGUUUUACUCCAAAAAUCGUUUAGGAAAGCUGCAUAGGGUGGGACUAUCAUGCUAAGAGUGCACACUUGGCUUUGCUAGUUCACUAAUACAUACUCAAAAUAAUUCCUUUAGCUCAAGUUCUAUCCAGUCUGUCACAGGUCACACCAAUGCUUUAAAAAACAAUAAGCAUUGAAGAGACACUGCUUUGUGUUUAACUAGUAAUUCCAUUUAAAGCCAUCUUCAGCAGGCCAAGAGACAGAGGUCUGCUACAUGAGAAAUAAUCCUUCAUUUUAAGAGGCAGCACUCAGCUCAAAGGUGCCACCCUGUGAAGUGCUGGAAUUAAGUCUUAUAAAUUAUUUAUAAUUUGUGCUGCCUUAAAGGAUCCUUCUUAUCUGACCUGACAUGUUGUUGCAGGAAGGAAUUUCCAUUCUAAGCCGUCACAUUAUUAGCCGAGUCCCUCAUUGCUUCAAUAUCCACCAAUGACUGUGAAUCACUCAACUAAAACAUAUUACUGUCAAAUUCCCUCUCUGUCUUCAGCAGGUACGGUUAACAGUAAUACAAUGCUGAAGGAAGCAGAAGAACAUUAAACCACUGCAACAGAUUCUUAUUGCCGCUAGAAUGUUUUAUGAAACUAAGCUAACAUGGCUUCAUUACAAUUUAAAAACAUCACCCUUCCUUUGUUUACAACUACCUAGCCCUGUACCAGUAACCUUGGUUUGCUGCAGUAACACACACAUCUGUAUGAUCUCGGAUCAGUACCAGUGACGCUGCCAAAUGGGACACAGACUGCAGCCUCACACUCAGCCUCCCACGUGAGCUCUUCUGACCUUUCCAUAGCCUCUAUUAUUGCUCUAUCAAAGCGUUCCAGGCCCUGAUAUAUUUAUCCUCAACAUCAAUCCCUGAAGUACAGAAGAUUCUGUAAGCAGGAAUCCAAGAGAAAAUUAAUGCUGUGCCCAACUUUACUUAAGAUUUACAAUGAAACCAGAAACUGAACCUCACUUAGCGCUCAAGGCAACUUCCUCAUCCUUCUCAGUAGUAACUGUGCAUCAAACUGAAGUAGGACACACAGAACCUUAACCUUCAGUCUGACCAGGCAGAAGCACAGUGGCUUGAAAGGUAGAACUGAGAGUCAGGGAAACAACCAGGCAAGAUCUAUCAGAGUACAAAGAGCCAUCAUUAAAAAUGUGAAAGUUCAUUUUUCCAGAGGCUCCCUGAGCCACUCAGUGACAUCCAAUCUCCCUCAAUCAGUUACUUACUUCCGUUCCAGUUGCAUUCUGGUUUUUACCAUCCAUAUAGGAUUCAUCAGGGAAUUUGUGAUAAAGGCUGAAAAAGAGAAAAGAAAACCAAAAGUAGAGCUGAAUCCAGGGCGAUGGAUUGCCAUGGCAGACAUGAACUUUAUACACUGUGCGGUGAGACAGUUCUAGUCACCAGCUCUAUCUAGAGGUUUCAGAAGAGAUGCAGGUGAGUAGCUUACAGUCUUUCUCUUGCCAGAGAACCACCUCAUGUUAAACUUCAGGAGGGAUUGACCAAUGGCCUUGGAAUUUCUUAAAGAAUUCCUCCUUUUUGCACCUAUUUUAAUAUGUACUUCAUACUGAAGACUGCUGUAGACAAGAUACCUUACUGACUGGGUUUUAGAAUAAUAGAGAAAAGGAAACCUGUGUGGAAAACACACAUGUAUGUGUGUUUUGUUUUCCCCAAGGCUCUAGGUGGUGCCAUUGAGCCACCUCAUUAGAGAAUCCACCCAUAAUUAAGGGGUUAGUUUGGGAAAGAUUAUUUUUAACGAUCACUCAGGUGAUUAAUGCUUGGACUAGUGGAGCUCUUCUGCAGUAUUUUUCCUACAAGAACAAACUAUUUUCCCCAUCCUGGUAGGAAAAAUACAACAUCUUAAAACAAUUUGGCUAAAACAGUAUCAAAAGAUUGCUGGUGUCCACUAAUAUUUUUUUCUCUCAUUCAGAGACAUUACCAGUUGGCACUGCAGUCAGAAAGAAGUUCAUUCCAAGUUUGUAAACAACAAUCUAGAAAGACUUCAAAGUGUUGAACAGGAAAACAGUUCCUCUGCAGAAAAGGUAAGUUAGGAGCUAGCAGGCUCCUGUUUUCUGGCAUAUACAACCUGAAACUAAGCGCAUUUUCAGCAUGUGCCACAUGCUGCCCUCUGUACUCAUCCAUAUACUGUGAUUAUCCAGAGCUGCCAGCCAAGACUGGUGUGUUAGCCUAGGUCCUGUACAGUCCAGUCCCCGCCUUAUGAUUCAUUAUAUUUUUUUCCUAACUAUUAAGAGGGAUAGAAGUCUCAUGGCAACAACAGCUUGGAAUGCAUACUGUAAAGAACUGAGGUGCAUCUCAGAGCCACACCGACACCAAUGCAUGCAGUGCCUGCUAUUGGCGAGGGGCUGGACACUGGGGUAUUGCUGCAGACCACACGGAAGAUGAAUUACAAAUACAUACCUGCAGAACCUGCAGAACAGAUGUGCACAAUGUUGCUGUUGGGCACAAAAAUGCCGUUAAAUUGCUCUUUGGCUUUGGAGUAGCAUGCAAAAUAGACAGCUCUGAGGGGAAAAAACCAAAAAGAAGAGAAGAAAAACAAUGUAAUACACACAACAUCAAAUUAAGACAUUACUAUUCUUCCCCUGCCCCCUAAAAACAAUGAGUUUCUCUACAAAGAGACACGACUACUUCCAUCUACAACAAAAGGGGAGUUCCUUGACACCCACAGGGUAGAAGUGUUUUACUUUCACACCAAGUCUGAGAUGAGAGGCAACAUGGUCUUGCAGAUAAAGCAAGUUAGGCUGGAUAACUGCACCAGCUCCGGCACUAAAUGCACUUUGUAAACUUGGGAACAUCACUUGCCCACCCAGAGCCUAUGUUUUCCAUAAAUUUUUUUCAGCAUUGUAACUGCGUUAGAGCACUUCAUGCUUUAAACACUUAACUCUGGACUGAAAUGAAAAAGUUUUACACACCUCAAAUCCCUACAUAAUGCAUAGGAAUACAGGAAGCUCAGCAGAUCUGCAACAGUCAAUAUGAUGAGUAAGAAGCUGUCUGAACCAAGUACGUUCAGACCACAGCUCCUUGAAGUGAACUGCUGGGAAAAGGCAGAUAUUGGUGGCUACAGUUUGAGAAUUUCCAUAAAGUACCUUAUUCCAAUCUUAUGGAUGAAUAUGAGGGAACACAAAAGACAGCAUGAGUGAGUUGCGUGAGGAAGCAGUCUUGGAUUCAGAUCCCUGCUGCAAAGAUUACCUGUACAGAAAUAGCAUUCUCCACUUCCAGGGGGAACAUCCUACCUACUAGGCAAGAGGCCAGAAAAGGAGUACACCACUCUUCAAGUUCCUUUUUAACUGUUUCACUUUCAGGCAGAGAACAUCUGCCAAUUUCCUGAUUGCUAACUAGUUUUAACAUUUGCUAGGCACAAAGAUCUUUAGCGCUGCCAAGAAUGGUACUGUCAUAGGUGCACGUGGAAACCAUUCAGAUACCUGUAAGACUCCAAAACACAAACAAGCUUUGUAGCUACUGUGGUUGUUGCUGUUAAAAAAAAAAAAAAAAAGGGA